rfam:Zea mays cultivar B73 chromosome 2, whole genome shotgun sequence.
UCUGCAGGAUAGUGUGUAUCGGCUUUGUGCUAACUUAUAUGCAUUUUGUGCCGUAAGUGUUUCCUGCUAUAUAGACUGAAGGAAAGUGGGCAGUUGGGUUAGACUUGUAUCCUGUCUUUUCCAACAAUCAUUUUCCUCUCAUGU